AGAGUUUGAUCCUGGCUCAGAACGAACGCUGGCGGCGUGCUUAACACAUGCAAGUCGAGUGCGCGUCUGUAGCAAUACAGAUGGCGCACGGCGCACGGGUGCGUACCACGUGGGUAACCUGCCCUUUAGUGGGGAAUAACCUCGCGAAAGCGAGGCUAAUUCCGCAUAAGAUCCGCAAGGAUGAAAGCCGAGAGGCGCUGAUGGAGGGGCCCGCGCACGAUUAGCUAGUUGGUGAGGUAAUGGCUCACCAAGGCUAUGAUCGUUAGCUGGUCUGAGAGGAUGGCCAGCCACACUGGAACUGAGACACGGUCCAGACUCCUACGGGAGGCAGCAGUGGGGAAUCUUGCACAAUGGGCGAAAGCCUGAUGCAGCGACGCCGCGUGGGGGAUGAAGCUUCUCGGAGUGUAAACCCCUUUCGACCCGGACGAAUACCUCGCAAGAGGGGUGACGGUACGGGUAUAAGAAGCCCCGGCUAACUACGUGCCAGCAGCCGCGGUAAGACGUAGGGGGCCAGCGUUGUUCGGAAUUACUGGGUGUAAAGGGUUCGUAGGCGGUGUGGCAAGUCGGGAGUGAAAUUUCUGGGCUCAACUCAGAGACUGCUUCCGAAACUGCUGUGCUGGAGUGUGGGAGAGGCGCGUGGAAUUGCAGGUGUAGCGGUGAAAUGCGUAGAUAUCUGCAGGAACACCCGUGGCGAAAGCGGCGAGCUGGACCACUACUGACGCUGAAGAACGAAAGCUAGGGGAGCAAACAGGAUUAGAUACCCUAGUAGUCC
rnacentral:rRNA from 1 species